GAAAAUGCUGAAACAAAAUGGCACUCCACUAAGGCGCCUUUUUUCAGGAAAAUUUGUAAGCCCUUCUCUGAAACCUACCCGACCUCAAGCUCUAUUGUUUCCUCCCCCAAUUUUUCCUCUCCAAAUAGAACCAAUCAUCCCAAUUGAGCUAGAGAACUAAUCAUGCAUCAUCGUACACAACAUCCAUUCUCAUACUCUUGCACCAUGUCUCAUCGCACCUUUUUUCAUCUCUCUAAGUAACUCUUGGAUCCGUGGUUUGAUUGCGAAGAGGAAUUAGGGCAUUUGAAGCUAGUGAUAAUUAGGACAUUUGAAGGUAGAGGAAGGCAAGAUUGUGGUGGCAGACAAACGGUUAGUCUGCAUUUGGUUUUUGAAAGUUAUUUGCUUUUUGUGCCUAAUUUUUCCAUCUCUUGAUUCAAUUUUCUGUUGAGUUUUCCUUGCAAAAUUAGGUUAGAAAUUUUGGUUUGUAAGGCUAAUACCCUGAUAUUAAGUGGGUUAUUCUAUUUGUCAUGAGUUUGGACUGAUUUCAAGCAUUUAAUGUUAUACUUUUCCAGCCAAAAACGCGAAAUCUAAUAAUAUUUGCUAUGUGUUUGCUGUUUUGCCAGAAAGAAAUUUUCAAAAUAUAGCUGCCCCAUUUGAAUAGCUGUUUAACUAGUUUUAAUACUGCUGGUUGAACUUGAGUGGGUUAUUCUGUUUGUCAUGAGUUUGGACUGAUUUCAAGCUUUUAGUGUAAUACUUUUCUAGCCAAAAAUGUGAAGUCUAAUAAUAUUUGCUAUGUGUUUGCUGUUUUGCUAGAAAGAAACUUUCAAAAUAUAGCUGCCCCAUUUGAAUAGCUGUUUGGACUAGUUUUAAUGCUGCUGGUUGAACUUGAAGAUGCUUAAAUUAUGUGCUCCUAAACAAGGCAACUUUGGGCAAUACUUGAGUGGUUGGCAAUUACCAAGUUCUUGGAUUCGGAUUCGGAUUGUGAUAAGAAACCAAAUAGAGUUUAAGAAACUUAUUAGUCUAGUUUAAGCAUCUUAUUUUCAGCUUUGUUCAUUCUUCAUUUGAUGGCUCUUGAAAUUUGGUUUAUUUGUUCUUCCUUGUAAUUGGAUUUUGGGAUUUUGUUAGGAAGAUAGAGAGUCAUCAAGAGACUAAUAAAGUGCCGUAACAUACUUAAGAAAGAGAAAGAAUUAUUUUGCAAAAUUUUGAAAAAGGUUAAAGUUCCUAAUGGUUAUUCAAUCACAAUUUCAAAGUCUGUGCACUUGAAACCUCCUAAACUAUCCAGACUUAAGAGCCAUGACAAUCACAUUUUAAUGUAACGACUGUUACCAUAAUGCUACCAAAAACUUCUUCCAAAAUCGGUGUGGUCUCCCUUGAUAAAGUUGUCCAACUACUUUAGAAAUUUGUGUUCUAAAACAUUUUGUCCUAGGGAACUUGUUCAAAUGGAAAGUGAAAUUACUAUUGUGCUAUGCCAGUUGGAGCGUGUGUUUCUACCAUUUUUAUUUGUUGUAAUGGUUCAUUUGACCAUUCAUUUAGCAACUGAGGCAAGGAUAAUUGGUCUAGUAUACUAUCGUUGGAUGUAUCCAAUUGAAAGAUAAUUAUCAUAAGUUUAAAAUUUCAUCUUUUUUUUUCUUAAUGUGAUUAGUCUUAUUAUAACAUAGUAUUUUGUAAUUAUCUCAGGUACCUAUGCACCUUGAAGAAUUAUGUUCGAAAUAGAAGUCGGACUGAUGAUUUGAUUGCAAAAGAGUACCUAAUUGAUGAGUGUAAACCACUGAAAUUUGGGUUGGUUUGUAGUAUUAUGUAAUGAAUUUCUGUUUAGGAGUUGCUCUCUUUGUAAGGCCUGGUGCAACCCAAUGAGUACAAACAAUUUCACAAUGAUGCACAAAGAUAUAUCAA
rnacentral:lncRNA from 1 species